CCUGGCGGCACUAGCGCGGUGGUCCCACCUGACCCCAUGCCGAACUCAGAAGUGNAAACGCCGUAGCGCCGAUGGUAGUGUGGGGUCUCCCCAUGUGAGAGUAGGGAACUGCCAGGC
rnacentral:rRNA from 1 species